rnacentral:rRNA from 1 species
AACGAACGCUGGCGGCAGGCUUAACACAUGCAAGUCGAACGCCCCGCAAGGGGAGUGGCAGACGGGUGAGUAACGCGUGGGAAUCUACCCAUCUCUGCGGAAUAGCUCCGGGAAACUGGAAUUAAUACCGCAUACGCCCUACGGGGGAAAGAUUUAUCGGGGAUGGAUGAGCCCGCGUUGGAUUAGGUAGUUGGUGGGGUAAAGGCCUACCAAGGCGACGAUCCAUAGCUGGUCUGAGAGGAUGAUCAGCCACAUUGGGACUGCGACACGGCCCAAACUCCUACGGGGGGCAGCAGUGGAGAAUAUUGGACAAUGGGCGCAAGCCUGAUCCAGCCAUGCCGCGUGAGUGAUGAAGGCCUUAGGGUUGUAAAGCUCUUUCACCGGUGAAGAUAAUGACGGUAACCGGAGAAGAAGCCCCGGCUAACUUCGUGCCAGCCGCCGCUGUAA